rnacentral:rRNA from 1 species
UAUUGCACAAUGGGGGAAACCCUGAUGCAGCGACGCCGCGUGAGGGAAGAAGGUUUUCGGAUUGUAAACCUCUGUCUUCGGUGACGAAACGAGACGGUAGCCGAGGAGGAAGCCACGGCUAACUACGUGCCAGCAGCCGCGGUAAUACGUAGGUGGCAAGCGUUGUCCGGAAUUACUGGGUGUAAAGGGAGCGUAGGCGGGAAAGCAAGUUGAAUGUUUAAGGUACGGGCUCAACCUGUACAAGCGUUCAAAACUGUUUUUCUUGAGUGGAGUAGAGGUAAGCGGAAUUCCUAGUGUAGCGGUGAAAUGCGUAAAUAUUAGGAGGAACACCAGUGGCGAAGGCGGCUUACUGGGCUUUAACUGACGCUGAGGCUCGAAAGCGUGGGUAGCAAACAGG